rnacentral:rRNA from 1 species
AUUGAACGCUGGCGGCAGGCCUAACACAUGCAAGUCGAGCGGAGCGGCGGACGGGUGAGUAAUGCCUAGGAAUCUGCCUGGUAGUGGGGGAUAACGUCCGGAAACGGGCGCUAAUACCGCAUACUAUCAGAUGAGCCUAGGUCGGAUUAGCUAGUUGGUGGGGUAAAGGCCUACCAAGGCGACGAUCCGUAACUGGUCUGAGCGAAUGAUCAGUCACACUGGAACUGAGACACGUUCCCUACUCCUACGAGAGGCAGAAGUGGGGAAUAUUGGACAAUGGGCGAAAGCCUGAGCCAAGCAUUCCGCGUGUGUGAAGAAGGUCUUCGGAUUGUAAAGCACUUUUAGUUUGGAGGCGUUACCAACAGGAUAAGCACCGGCUAACUUCGUGCCAGCAGCCGCGGUAAUUC